rnacentral:rRNA from 2 species
GUNGGGAAUUUUUCACAAUGGGCGAAAGCCUGAUGGAGCAAUCCCGCGUGGAUGAUGAAGGUCUUAUAUAGAUUGUAAAAUCCUUUUAUUGGAGACGAACGGCAGGAAGAGGAAAUGCUUUCUGUGUGACGGUAUCCUUUGAAUAAGUAUCGGCUAACUAUGUGCCAGCAGCCGCGGUAAUACAUAGGAUGCAAGCGUUAUUCGGAUUUACUGGGCGUAAAGAGAGCGCGGGCGGAUCUGCAAGUCUGGUGUGAAAUACAACUGCUUAACGGUUGUAUGCAUUGGAAACUGCAAAUCUAGAGUGUAGUAGAGAGUUUUGGAACUCCAUGUGGAGCGGUGGAAUGCGUAGAUAUAUGGAAGAACACCAGUGGCGAAGGCGAAAACUUGGGCUAUUACUGACGCUUAUGCUCGAAAGUGUGGGGAGCAAAUAGGAUUAGAUACCCUAGUAGUCCACACCGUAAACGAUGGUAAUUAAAUGUUGGCAUGGAAUAUGUCGGCGUUGCAGUUAACACAUUAAAUUACCCGCCUGGGUAGUACAUUCGCAAGAAUGAAACUCAAACGGAAUUGACGGGGACCCGCACAAGUGGUGGAGCAUGUUGCUUAAUUCGACAAUACACGUAAAACCUUACCUGGGUUUGACAUCCUUUGCAAAGCUAUAGAGAUAUAGUGGAGGUAACAUNUUNNUCCNGUGUGNAUUUNC